rnacentral:rRNA from 1 species
UACGUAGGGGCAAGCGUUGUCCGGAUUCAUUGGGCGUAAAGGGCGCGUAGGCGCCUUCUAAGUCGAACGUGAAAUCCCCGGGCUCAACCCGAGAACUGCGUCCGAUACUGGAAGGCGUUGAAUCCGGGAGAGGGAUGCGGAAUUCCAGGUGUAGCGGUGAAAUGACGCAGAGUAUCAGGAAGAAUAUCCGUGGCGAAGGCGGCUCUCUGGUACGGCACUGGACGCUGAGACGGCGAAAGCCGUGGGGAGCAAACAGG